rnacentral:rRNA from 1 species
AUUGAACGCUAGCAGAAUGCUUUACACAUGCAAGUCGAGCGGCAGCACGGGGGCAACCCUGGUGGCGAGCGGCGAACGGGUGAGUAAUACAUCGGAACAUGCCCAGUCGUGGGGGAUAACACUUCGAAAGAAGUGCUAAUACCGCAUACGUCCUGAGGGAGAAAGCGGGGGAUCUUCGGACCUCGCGCGAUUGGAGUGGCCGAUGUCAGAUUAGCUAGUUGGUGGGGUAAAGGCCUACCAAGGCAACGAUCCGUAGCUGGUCUGAGAGGAUGAUCAGCCACACUGGGACUGAGACACGGCCCAGACUCCUACGGGAGGCAGCAGUGGGGAAUUUUGGACAAUGGGGGCAACCCUGAUCCAGCCAUUCCGCGUGAGUGAAGAAGGCCUUCGGGUUGUAAAGCUCUUUCGGCAGGAACGAAACGGCGAGCUCUAACAUAGCUUGCUAAUGACGGUACCUGAAGAAGAAGCACCGGCUAACUACGUGCCAGCCGCCGCCGUAACAC